rnacentral:rRNA from 1 species
AGAGUUUGAUCCUGCUCAGCACGAACGCUGGCGGCGUGCNUAAUGCAUGCACGUCGAGCGACGAAUAGGUGCGGGUAACCGAACNUAAUACGAGGCGGCGAACGGGUGAGUAACACGUGAGCAACCUGCCCCGCAGAUCGGGAUAGCCCAGGGAAACUUGGAUUAAUACAGAAUAUUCUCCUUUAACCACAUGAUUGUUGGAGGAAAUGCUUUUGCGCUACGGGAUGCGCUCACGGCCUAUCAGCUUGUUGGUGGGGUAACGGCAUACCAAGGCUACGACGGGUAGCUGGUCUGAGAGCACGAUCAGCCACACUGGGACUGAGACACGGCCCAGACUCGUACGGGAGGCAGCAGCAGGGAAUCUUGCGCAAUGGGCGAAAGCCUGACGCAGCAACGCCGCGUGGGGGAUGAAGGCAUUCGGGUUGUAAACCCCUUUAGGGAGGGACGAAAUUGACGGUACCUCCAGAAUAAGCCCCGGCCAACUACGUGCCAGCAGCCGCGGUGAUACGUAGGGGGCAAGCGUUGUCCGGAAUCAUUGGGCGUAAAGAGCUCGUAGGCGGCUUAGUAAGUCGGUCGUGAAAUACCGAGGCUCAGCCUCGGCACUGCGGUCGAUACUGCUAUAGCUAGAGUUUGGUAGAGGAGAACGGAAUUCCCGGUGUAGCGGUGGAAUGCGCAGAUAUCGGGAGGAACACCUGUAGCGAAGGCGGUUCUCUGGGCCAACACUGACGCUGAGGAGCGAAAGCGUGGGGAGCAAACAGGAUUAGAUACCCUGGUAGUC